GACAGAGGGUGCAAGCGUUGUUCGGAAUCAUUGGGCGUAAAGGGUGCGUAGGCGGUUUUAUAAGUUGGAUGUGAAAGCCCAGGGCUCAACCUUGGAAGUGCAUCCAAGACUGUAAGACUAGAAUCUUGGAGAGGGUAGUGGAAUUCCCAGUGUAGAAGUGAAAUUCGUAGAUAUUGGGAGGAACAUCAGUGGCGAAGGCGACUGCCUGGCUAAAGAUUGACGCUGAGGCACGAAAGCGUGGGGAUCAAACAGG
rnacentral:rRNA from 1 species